GACGAACGCUGGCGGCGUGCCUAACACAUGCAAGUCGAGCGGUUCAAGCAGCAAUGUUUGGAUAGCGGCGGACGGGUGAGUAACGCGUGGGCAACCUGCCUUCUACAGGGGGAUAACACAGGGAAACUUGUGCUAAUACCGCAUAGCAUACGGAAAGGACAUCCUUUUUGUAUCAAAGGAGGAAUCCGGUAGAAGAUGGGCCCGCGUCCGAUUCGCUAGUUGGAGGUGUAACGGACCACCAAGGGGACGAACGGUAGCCGAACUGAGAGGUUGAGCGGCCACAUUGGGACUGAGACACGGCCCAGACUCCUACGGGAGGCAGCAGUGGGGAAUAUUGCGCAAUGGGGGAAACCCUGACGCAGCAACGCCGCGUGAAGGAUGAAGGUCUUCGGAUUGUAAACUUCUUUAGUCGGGGACGAAGAAAUGACGGUACCCGAAGAAUAAGCCACGGCUAACUACGUGCCAGCCGCCGCAGUAA
rnacentral:rRNA from 1 species